UCAAAUCGGGUGAGACUACCCGCUGAACUUAAGC
rnacentral:rRNA from 2 species